rnacentral:rRNA from 1 species
CAUUACAUUAGAACAUAGGCCCCAAGCUGUAGCAAUACAGCCCAAAGGCCUCUUCUAUUACCCUUGUUUUUUGAGUACCUAUGUUUCCUUGGUGGGCUUGCCUGCCAAUAGGACAAACUAUUAAACCUUUUUUAAUUUUCAAUCAGCGUCUGAAUAAACUUUAAUAAUUACAACUUUCAACAACGGAUCUCUUGGUUCUGGCAUCGAUGAAGAACGCAGCGAAAUGCGAUAAGUAGUGUGAAUUGCAGAAUUCAGUGAAUCAUCGAAUCUUUGAACGCACAUUGCGCCCCUUGGUAUUCCAUGGGGCAUGCCUGUUCGAGCGUCAUUUGUACCUUCAAGCUCUGCUUGGUGUUGGGUGUUUUGUCCUCUCCAUUGCGUUUGGACUCGCCUUAAAGCAAUUGGCAGCCAGUGUAUUGGUUUUAAGCGCAGCACAUCUUGCGUCUUUUUUCCUAUCACACUCGCGUCCAUUAAGCCUUUUUAUCACUUUUGACCUCGGAUCAGGUAGGGAUACCCGCUGAACUUAAGCAUAUCA